rnacentral:rRNA from 1 species
GAGUUUGAUCCUGGCUCAGAACGUACGCUGGCGGCACGCCUAACACAUGCAAGUCGAACGAAGUAGCAAUACUUAGUGGCAGACGGGUGAGUAACAUGUAGGUAUCUGCCCUUUGGCCUGGAAUAACACGAGGAAACUUGUGCUAAUACCGGAUAAGUCUUUACGGAGAAAGCUUUAUGCACCAUUGGAUGAGCCUGCACUUGAUUAGUUUGUUGGUGGGGUAAUGGCCUACCAAGACUGUGAUCAAUAGCUGAUUUGAGAGGAUGAUCAGCCACAUUGGGACUGAGGCACGGCCCAAACUCCUACGGGAGGCAGCAGUGGGGAAUCUUGCACAAUGGAGGAAACUCUGAUGCAGCGAUGCCGCGUGAGUGAAGAAGGCCUUUGGGUUGUAAAGCUCUUUCGUCGGGGAAGAAAAUGACUGUACCCGAAUAAGAAGGUCCGGCUAACUUCGUGCCAGCAGCCGCGGUAAUACGAAGGGACCUAGCGUAGUUCGGAAUUACUGGGCUUAAAGAGUUCGUAGGUGGUUGAAAUAGUUGGUGGUGAAAUCCCAGAGCUUAACUCUGGAACUGCCAUCAAAACUUUUCAGCUAGAGUAUGAUAGAGGAAAGCAGAAUUUCUAGUGUAGAGGUGAAAUUCGUAGAUAUUAGAAAGAAUACCAAAUGCGAAGGCAGCUUUCUGGAUCAUUACUGACACUGAGGAACGAAAGCAUGGGUAGCGAAGAGGAUUAGAUACCCUCGUAGUCCAUGCCGUAAACGAUGUGUGUUAGACGUUGGAAAUUUAUUUUCAGUGUCGCAGGGAAACCGAUAAACACACCGCCUGGGGAGUACGACCGCAAGGUUAAAACUCAAAUGAAUUGACGGGGACCCGCACAAGUAGUGGAGCAUGUGGUUUAAUUCGAAGAUACGCGCAGAACCUUACCAACACUUGACAUGUUCGUCGCGACUCUAAGAGAUUAGAGUUUUCGGUUCGGCCGGACGAAACACAGGUGCUGCAUGGCUGUCGUCAGCUCGUGUCGUGAGAUGUUGGGUUAAGUCCCGCAACGAGCGCAACCCUCACUUUUAGUUGCCAUCAUUUAGUUGGGCACUCUGAAAGAACUGCCAGUGAUAAGCUGGAGGAAGGUGGGGAUGACGUCAAGUCCUCAUGGCCCUUACGUGUUGGGCUACACACGUGCUACAAUGGUAUCUACAACAGGAAGCAAGACUGCGAAGUUAAGCAAAUCCCUAAAAGAUACCUCAGUUCGGAUUGCACUCUGCAACUCGAGUGCAUGAAGCUGGAAUUACUAGUAAUCGUGGAUCAGCGUGCCACGGUGAAUGCGUUCCCGGGUCUUGUACACACCGCCCGUCACACCAUGGGAGUUGGUUCUACCUUAAGGCAAGGUUUCAAACCCUUGACCACGGUAUAGUCAGCGACUGGGGUGAAGUCGUAACAAGGUAACC